AUCGUGAGGUGUGGGAGAGAAGAAGCAAUAGCGAAAUCGUAGCCUGACGGACAGAAACCUGAUACUAAGGCUCAUUGAGUGGGUAAGCUGACCAAAGACAGUGAAUCCCUAAAGGCAAACGUAAGCUCAAUGGGUAGAUUGGGCAGGUAGACGAGGAAAGAAU
rnacentral:ncRNA from 1 species